UAACACAUGCAAGUCGAGGGGCAGCAUCUUCUUAGCUUGCUAAGGCCGAUGGCGACCGGCGCACGGGUGAGUAACACGUAUCCAACCUGCCGUCUACUCUUGGACAGCCUUCUGAAAGGAAGAUUAAUACAAGAUGGCAUCAUGAGUCCGCAUGUUCACAUGAUUAAAGGUAUUCCGGUAGACGAUGGGGAUGCGUUCCAUUAGAUAGUAGGCGGGGUAACGGCCCACCUAGUCUUCGAUGGAUAGGGGUUCUGAGAGGAAGGUCCCCCACAUUGGAACUGAGACACGGUCCAAACUCCUACGGGAGGCAGCAGUGAGGAAUAUUGGUCAAUGGGCGAGAGCCUGAACCAGCCAAGUAGCGUGAAGGAUGACUGCCCUAUGGGUUGUAAACUUCUUUUAUAAAGGAAUAAAGUCGGGUAUGCAUACCCGUUUGCAUGUACUUUAUGAAUAAGGAUCGGCUAACUCCGUGCCAGCAGCCGCGGUAAUACGGAGGAUCCGAGCGUUAUCCGGAUUUAUUGGGUUUAAAGGGAGCGUAGAUGGAUGUUUAAGUCAGUUGUGAAAGUUUGCGGCUCAACCGUAAAAUUGCAGUUGAUACUGGAUAUCUUGAGUGCAGUUGAGGCAGGCGGAAUUCGUGGUGUAGCGGUGAAAUGCUUAGAUAUCACGAAGAACUCCGAUCGCGAAGGCAGCCUGCUAAGCUGCAACUGACAUUGAGGCUCGAAAGUGUGGGUAUCAAACAGGAUCAGAUACCCUGGUAGU
rnacentral:rRNA from 1 species